GUUAGAUCAGAAAUGUGGUGGAAAUGGAAUGAAUGAUUCUUGAUAACAAUACCAGCACCACCUUGGUGCCAACUGGAGGGGGAGACCAUUGCAGAACAGAGCCAUAUCGAUCGUCAUUGGAUUGUGUAGAUCAAUGAGGCAAAGCUUCAUCAAAUUCCAUUUUCUAAUUAGCGGCCAUAAGCAACAUCUGAGCACUAGACCAUAGAAUGGAUUGAAAAAAAGAGCAUUUCUUGGUUUCCAAAUCCUCUGACAUAUAUAAGAAGCCAGCGAGCCCCAUCAAAACAAGAUUAUUAGACCGACU
rnacentral:lncRNA from 1 species